GGGUGAUGGCGUGCCUUUUGUAGAAUGAACCGGCGAGUUACGAUCCCAUGCAAGGUUAAGUCGGAAAGACGGAGCCGCAGCGAAAGCGAGUCUGAAUAGGGCGAAUGAGUAUGUGGUCGUAGACCCGAAACCAGGUGAUCUACCCAUGUCCAGGGUGAAGUUCAGGUAACACUGAAUGGAGGCCCGAACCCACGCACGUUGAAAAGUGCGGGGAUGAGGUGUGGGUAGCGGAGAAAUUCCAAUCGAACUUGGAGAUAGCUGGUUCUCUCCGAAAUAGCUUUAGGGCUAGCCUCAUGUAGUAAGAGUCUUGGAGGUAGAGCACUGUUUGGACUAGGGGCCCUCAUCGGGUUACCGAAUUCAGACAAACUCCGAAUGCCAAAGACUUAUCCAUGGGAGUCAGACUGCGAGUGAUAAGAUCCGUAGUCGAAAGGGAAACAGCCCAGACCACCAGCUAAGGUCCCAAAGUAUACGUUAAGUGGAAAAGGAUGUGGAGUUGCUUAGACAACCAGGAUGUUGGCUUAGAAGCAGCCACCAUUUAAAGAGUGCGUAAUAGCUCACUGGUCGAGUGACUCUGCGCCGAAAAUGUACCGGGGCUAAACGUAUCACCGAAGCUGUGGAUUGACACCGAUUGGUGUCAGUGGUAGGAGAGCGUUCUAAGGGCUGAGAAGCUGGACCGUAAGGACUGGUGGAGCGCUUAGAAGUGAGAAUGCCGGUAUGAGUAGCGAAAGACAGGUGAGAAUCCUGUCCACCGAAUGCCUAAGGUUUCCUGAGGAAGGCUCGUCCGCUCAGGGUUAGUCGGGACCUAAGCCGAGGCCGAAAGGCGUAGGCGAUGGAUAACAGGUUGAUAUUCCUGUACCACCUCUUUUCCGUUUGAGUGAUGGGGGGACGCAGGAGGAUAGGGUAAGCGCGCUGCUGGAUAUGCGCGUCUAAGCAGUUAGGCUGGUGAUGAGGCAAAUCCCGUCACCGUGAAGGCUGAGCUGUGACAGCGAGGGAAAUAUAGUACCGAAGUUCCUGAUUCCACACUGCCAAGAAAAGCCUCUAGCGAGGAAAAAGGUGCCCGUACCGCAAACCGACACAGGUAGGCGAGGAGAGAAUCCUAAGGUGAGCGAGAGAACUCUCGUUAAGGAACUCGGCAAAAUGACCCCGUAACUUCGGGAGAAGGGGUGCUCUGGUAGGGUGCAAGCCCGAGAGAGCCGCAGUGAAUAGGCCCAGGCGACUGUUUAGCAAAAACACAGGUCUCUGCGAAGCCGUAAGGCGAAGUAUAGGGGCUGACGCCUGCCCGGUGCUGGAAGGUUAAGGGGAGUGCUUAGCGCAAGCGAAGGUGCGAACCGAAGCCCCAGUAAACGGCGGCCGUAACUAUAACGGUCCUAAGGUAGCGAAAUUCCUUGUCGGGUAAGUUCCGACCCGCACGAAAGGCGCAACGAUCUGGGCACUGUCUCAACGAGAGACUCGGUGAAAUUAUAGUACCUGUGAAGAUGCAGGUUACCCGCGACAGGACGGAAAGACCCCGUGGAGCUUUACUGUAGCCUGAUAUUGAAUUUUGGCACAGCUUGUACAGGAUAGGUAGGAGCCUUGGAAACCGGAGCGCCAGCUUCGGUGGAGGCGCUGGUGGGAUACUACCCUGGCUGUGUUGAACUUCUAACCCGCGCCCCUGAUCGGGGUGGGAGACAGUGUCAGGUGGGCAGUUUGACUGGGGCGGUCGCCUCCUAAAGAGUAACGGAGGCGCCCAAAGGUUCCCUCAGAAUGGUUGGAAAUCAUUCGCAGAGUGUAAAGGCACAAGGGAGCUUGACUGCGAGACCUACAAGUCGAGCAGGGACGAAAGUCGGGCUUAGUGAUCCGGUGGUUCCGCAUGGAAGGGCCAUCGCUCAACGGAUAAAAGCUACCCCGGGGAUAACAGGCUUAUCUCCCCCAAGAGUCCACAUCGACGGGGAGGUUUGGCACCUCGAUGUCGGCUCAUCGCAUCCUGGGGCUGUAGUCGGUCCCAAGGGUUGGGCUGUUCGCCCAUUAAAGCGGUACGCGAGCUGGGUUCAGAACGUCGUGAGACAGUUCGGUCCCUAUCCGUCGUGGGCGCAGGAAAUUUGAGAGGAGCUGUCCUUAGUACGAGAGGACCGGGAUGGACGCACCGCUGGUGUACCAGUUGUCUUGCCAAAGGCAUCGCUGGGUAGCUAUGUGCGGAAGGGAUAAGUGCUGAAAGCAUCUAAGCAUGAAGCCCCCCUCGAGAUGAGAUUUCCCAUCACUUUAUGUGAGUAAGAUCCCUGAAAGAUGAUCAGGUAGAUAGGUCUGAGGUGGAAGCGUGGCGACACGUGCAGCUGACAGAUACUAAUCGAUCGAGGACUUAACC
rnacentral:rRNA from 2 species